rnacentral:rRNA from 1 species
CAUGGGGGAAUAUUGCACAAUGGGCGCAAGCCUGAUGCAGCCAUCGCCGCGUGUGUGAAGAAGGCCUUCGGGUUGUAAAGCACUUUCAGUCGUGAGGAGGUAGUGUAGUUAUAGCUGCAUUAUUUGACGUUAGCGACAGAAGAAGCACCGGCUAACUCCGUGCCAGCAGCCGCGGUAAUACGGAGGGUGCGAGCGUUAAUCGGAAUUACUGGGACGUAAAGCGCAUGCGAGGUGGUUUGUUAAGUCAGAUGUGAAAGCCCCGGGGCUCAAACCUCGGAAUAGCAUUUUGAAACUGGCAGACUAGAGUACUGUAGGAGGGGGUAGAAUUUCAGGUGUAGCGGUGAAAUGCGUAGAGAUCUGAAGGAAUACCGGUGGCGAAGGCGGCCCCCUGGACAGAUACUGACACUCAGAUGCGAAAGCGUGGGGAGCAAACAGGAUUAGAUACCCUGGUAG